UAGACAUCCUGACACCACUCGCCGAGUCUGAAGAACGACUCGACGAGUUCCAGUAGAUCUUCAAGCUACUCGCCGAGUCUGAAGAACAACUCGACGAGUCCUAGUGAACCUUCAAGCUACUCGCCGAGUCUGAAGAACAACUCGGCGAGUUCUAGUGAAUCUUCAAGCUACUCGCCGAGUCUGAUCAUUGGACUCGGCGAGUCCUCGCCAUGCAGUCAAUCCGCUGCCUCCUGUAUUUCGCAUGAUUUCGAAGUAUAUAGAUAUAGGGCUUCCUGGACUUUCACAUAUACUAUUACGGGGUUUUUUAACACUUAUAACAACAAUAUAAUCUAACUAACCCUUAAUUGGGUUUCCUAAACCCUAAACUCGCAUACAACGUAAAAGUUACAGAUUUCGAUCCGAAGAUUACCUGGAAACGUGUUCCCUGUGUCUCCAAACCUCCAGUACUCGAUUCCUUUGAUCACCACCUUGCUCCUCCUUGUCUAACAAUCUCUUCAAGCCUUCUCAAGUCCUCUCUCUUGCUUCAGAUGCUCACACACUCCCAGGGGAUCUUCAACCGGCCAAAAGACGCGACAUGACGGCCAUAAGAUCGUUAUAUACGAUCAGAAAUGAAACGGCUAGGGUUCAGCUGAACGGCGUCGACUCGCCGAGUCCCUUAUUGGACUCGUCGAGUCCAGUCGCGCGUCUGCGACCAAGACCAUGGCCCUACUCGGCGAGUCGUGCACCAACUCGCCGAGUCCCCUCCUAAAUGUGCCCCAAAAAUAAUUUAAAGAAAUACCUGAAAUUCCGGGCUGUUACAACUCUCCCCCACUAGAACUAGACUUCGCCCUCGAAGUCUCUCAUUCUGCGAAUAACUCCGGAUGUUGCUCCCGCAUUUCUCUUUCCGGCUCCCAAGUCAUCUCCGAUCCCUUCCGAUGUUGCCACUGAACCAACACCAGAGGUAUUUCCUUGUUCCGUAGAACCUUGAUCUUCCGAUCCCUGAUAGCUACUGGUCUCUCGGCGUAAUUCAGACUCGCAUCUACCUGGAUAUCUUCUAACGGAACCACUGCUGCCUCAUCGGCUAUACACUUCCUCAGCUGUGAUACGUGGAAGGUAUUGUGAAUCUGAUUCAGCUCCGCUGGCAACUCCAACCGAUAAGCUACCCGACCUACCCUUGCAAUUACCCGAAAUGGACCUAUGAACCGGGGCCCCAAUUUGCCCCUCUUCCUGAACCGAAUCACCCCUUUCCAAGGAGAAACCUUUAGGAGAACGAAGUCGCCGACCUGGAAUUCGAGCUCGGACCGGCGUCUGUCCGCAUAACUCUUCUGUCGGCUCUGGGCGGUCAAUAACCUCUGCCUCACCCGUUGGAUCUGUUCAGUCGUUUGAAGUACGAUCUCUGUACUGCCCAUCACUCUCUGUCCCACUUCUCCCCAGCAAAUGGGAGUCCGACACCUCCUACCAUACAACAACUCAAAAGGUGGCAUACCAAUGCUCGAAUGAUGGCUGUUGUUGUAGGAAAACUCAGCCAGCGGCAGAUGCGCAUCCCAGCUACCCCCGAAGUCUAACACACACGCUCUAAGCAUAUCUUCCAAUGUCUGGAUCGUCCGCUCGCUUUGACCGUCGGUCUGGGGAUGGUAUGCGGUACUAAAAUGCAGUUUAGUACCCAACUCCUCAUGGAAUUUCUUCCAGAACCUGGAAGUGAAACGUACAUCGCGGUCCGAAACAAUCGAGGUCGGCACUCCAUGCCGAGAUACUAUCUCUCUCACGUACAACUCCGCCAACUUCUCUGCUGAUGAACUUUCACUAAUGGCAAGGAAAUGUGCACUCUUUGUUAGUCUAUCCACAAUCACCCAAAUCGCAUCGACUCCCCUGGCAGUUUUCGGCAAUUUGGUGAUGAAAUCCAUCGUGAUCUGAUCCCACUUCCACUCAGGGAUCUCCAAGGGUUGCAACUUACCGUGCGGUCUCUGGUGCUCGGCCUUAACUUUACGGCAGGUCAAACACCUCUCCACGAACCACGCAACGUCUCUCUUCAUGCAAGGCCACCAGUACUCCUUUUUCAAAUCCAGAUACAUUUUCGUAGCACCGGGAUGGAUCGAGAAUUUCGAUCUAUGUGCCUCCUCCAUCAAAAUGACACGCGUACCGCCCACGAAUGGCACCCAGAUCCGACCCUGAAAUGUCAGAAGUCCCCGCCCAUCCGUAACGAACUCUGAAAUUAACCCGACGACCCGCUCCUGUUUCUGCAUCCCAGACUUCACAACCUCGGCCUGUGCCCCACGAAUAGUAUCUAAUACCGGAGUCACCACCGUCAAUCUCAAACAUACGUCCCGCAAUGGAGUACCCUCCGCCCUACGACUCAAUGCAUCGGCUACCACAUUAGCCUUGCCUGGGUGGUAUAGGAUCUCACAGUCAUAAUCCUUAACCACGUCUAACCAUCUCCUCUGGCGCAUGUUUAGGUUGGGUUGAUCCAUCAAAUACUUCAAACUCUUAUGGUCCGUGUAUAUGGUACAACGAACCCCGUACAGGUAGUGACGCCAAAUUUUGAGGGCGAACACUACUGCCCCCAACUCUAAGUCAUGCGUGGGAUAUCUCGCUUCGUGAGGCUUCAGCUGCCUCGAUGCAUAGGCUAUCACAUGGCCCCUCUGCAUCAACACUGCACCCAGUCCUGAAAUCGAUGCGUCGCAAUAUACGACGAAGUCCUCCAUCCCUUCAGGAAGGGCUAAUACUGGUGCUUCGCACAGUCUCUGACGAAGUGUCUCGAAGGAAGUCUGCUGCUCGGGUCCCCAUGAGAAUGUAACACCCUUUCGGGUCAAUUUGGUAAGUGGCACUGCGAUCUUGGAGAAGUCCCUAAUGAACCUUCGAUAGUACCCUGCCAACCCAAGGAAACUCCUGAUCUCCGAAGGUGACUUUGGUGCCUCCCAUCUCAUCACCGCCUCCACCUUGGCCGGAUCGACCAAUAUCCCUGCCUGAUUUACAACGUGCCCCAGAAAUUGAACCUCCCGUAACCAGAAGUCACAUUUGGAGAAUUUUGCAUAUAGCUUCUCCGACCUCAGUACCUCAAGGACCUCCCUCAAAUGUCCCUCAUGCUGCUCCCUAGACCGCGAAUACACCAGAAUGUCGUCGAUGAAUACAAUCACAGACCGAUCCAGCAUCGGCCUGCAUACCCUGUUCAUGAGAUCCAUGAACACUGCUGGGGCAUUGGUGAGCCCAAAAGGCAUCACCACGAACUCGUAAUGCCCAUACCGCGUCCUAAAGGCUGUCUUCUGGACGUCCUCAUCCCGCACCCUUACCUGAUGGUACCCUGAUCUCAAAUCAAUCUUGGAAAACCAAGAUGCCCCUUGCAACUGAUCGAAUAGAUCAUCGAUUCUUGGUAACGGAUAGCGGUUCUUAACUGUCACCUUGUUCAGUUCCCGGUAAUCGAUACACAUCCGGUGUGAACCAUCCUUCUUCUUGACGAACAGAAUCGGUGCUCCCCACGGCGAGCUACUCGGCCGAAUAAAUCCCUUCCCCAACAACUCUUGAAGUUGCGAGGACAAUUCUUGCAUCUCUGGAGGUGCAAGACGAUAAGGCACCUUCGCAAUAGGCGCCGCCCCUGGAACUAGGUCGAUACCAAACUCCACUUGCCUCGCAGGAGGUAUUCCCGGCAAAUCCUCGGGGAAAACAUCUGGAAACUCGCGCACCACUGGAACCUCCUGCAAUGUCUUCGGUCUCUCGGAACUCUCCCGCGUAUCCAUCACAUACGCCACGAAACCGUUACAUCCCCGCUGUAGGCAUUGCCUCGCCCUAGCAGCCGAACAAAAAGCUGAUCUCGAACGGGUACCCUCGCCGUACACCGUAAGAACUCCCCCACUAGGGUCUCGUAUAGUCACCAACUGACGCUCGCAGUCGAUGACAGCGCUGAAUCGGCUCAACCAGUCCAUGCCUACAAUGACACAGACAUCACCCAUCGCAAUAGGAAUUAGGUCAAUCGGAAAUGCGACCCCGAAGAUCUCUAGCACACAUCCCCGAAAAACCUCCGUAGCACAAAUCACCCUCUCAGCCGCAAUGGAAACGCUCAAAGGCCGACUUAACGGCUCACGACUAAUGCCGAUGUGCUGACUAAAAGCUAACGAUACAAACGAUCUACUCGCACCCGAAUCAAAUAAUACUAGAGCAGGCAUAGAGUUCACAAGGAAAGUACCUACACAUACAUUAACAUAAGCAUAACAUUUCGACCUUUAAUUAAAUACAUGAAAGAUAACAUACCUGCCACAACAUCGGGCGCAGCGCGGACCUCCUCCGCAGUCAGCUGAAAGGCUCUCCCGCGAGCCCUCGGGGCCUCGACCUUCACCGGUCGGGUCUCAGUAGUCCGGGUAGUAGGUGUAGCUCCCUGACGAAGUUGCGGGCACUCGGCCUUCCGAUGGCCUGUCUGGUUGCAGUGAAAACAAACCAUAAACCCCUUAGGGCAAUCCCUGGCAAUAUGUCCGUCCUUGCCACACUUGUAGCAACCACCAGUUCGACACGCCCCCUCGUGACUUUUGCCGCACUUCGCGCAAGUGCGACCCUUCGAACCUCCCAUCCUCGAAUCAGCGAACUUAAUCCGCUUGGCUGCCGGCUGAGACUGGGCCGGCCGUCGAUCCACCUGCCGAGACUCAGCCUCCUCCCUCGCUUGAGUCUCCAACUCAAUCUCGCGCUUCCUGGCGUUCGCCUGAAGCUCAGUGAAAGUACGAUAGGUGGAGUUUGACACAAACUCCCGAAUCUCCCUCUUCAAAACACCCAAAUAGCGGCUCAUCCGCGACUGCUCCGUAGAUACCAGCUCGGGGCAGAACAUUGCCCUCUCAUGAAACUUCCGUGUGAUCACUGCCACGGAAUCAGUACCCUGCUUAAGGGUCAAGAACUCCUGAAUCAACCGCUCCCUCUCUACCGGGGGAACGUACUCAUCCCUGAACAUCUCCGUAAACCUCUCCCAUGUCACUGCCGUAAUCUCUGCCUGAGUGAAGUUCACCGUCACGAACUUCCACCAAUCCUUCGCUCCCAGACGGAGCUGGUUCAAGGCGAACCGUACCCUCAAGUGUUCCGGGCAUGAGCAAGUAUAGAAGCACCCCUCGAUGUCGGCGAUCCACCUCAUGGCUGCAAUCGGAUCCUGCGUCCCAUCAAAUUCAGGGGGUUUCGUGUUGCUGAAUUCCCUGAAUGGUAAUGAAUCACCCCCUUGCGGCCUGGCAGCAGCCACCGCUGCGGUAGCGGCAGCAACUGCAGCUUCAGAAAUUGCGGCGCACCGCUCCUCAAACUCCUCCAUCAACGUGGUCUUAAUAGACCCAAACAUCUCCGGGAUCUCAGCCCGGACCGCCGCAGCUACCUCUUCCUGAAUAAUCUGACGAAUCUCCUCGUCACUCGCACCGCUCGAACUCGCCCCAUUGCGUGUGACAACCAUGAUGUCUCUGAAAUACAACAUAAAAUCAUCAGAGACUCCACCAAGUACAAUUGUACUCAAUACGCGCCCUACCCAGUCUCCGAUUUCCAGGGAUUCUUAUUUGAGUCUUCCACUGAUCCGGUGCCUUCGGUAGUACGGGCCCAAUACUACCGACCACACCGUAUCAGUAUUCGUCCCAAAUCUUCCUCCCCAAAUCCCGAAUAACGGGUACUCUACUUCUAGUAUGUACUAUUUACUUGCACGCUACCAAAUAUCUCAUAUAAGCAAUCUCCCUAGACUAAGGCAUCACAAAACAGGCAAUUCUAUUCCUAUCAUGUAUACCUAGUCUUCUAGCAUGCAUAACAAUUCAUAAUUCAGUGCAUAACAUAACAUCGUAAGGUAUUCUGGGGAUCUUUACCGUUCGGACGCUGGCUGCUCGUACACACUGUUCCACCCUUGUUUUUACCGCCUUGCCCUUUAUAAAAUGUUAUGUCCUUAUUAUUUUUAAGAAAAAGUUUUUCCUCAAAUCCCCGGUCUGAGUUCAGUUGCACCCAAAAGUACACCCGAAUCCCUCAAACCAAGGCUCUGAUACCAAUUGUAACAGCUCAAAUUUUCAAAUAAAUUUUUCGUUAAAAAUAAAACAUCAUUAUUCGACAAAAGGGUUUAUUCCAAGUUUAUUUCAAAAUAAAAAUAAUAAAUCUCCAGGAUCUUCAACAGUGGCAGUGUGUACGUGUCACGCCGGCGCCUUCCCACGGUCAUCACUAGUACCUGAAAAACAUAAACACAACUAGUAAGCAUAAAUGCUUAGUGAGUUCCCCAGUAUACGACUUACCCACAUACGCCUUCCGGCCCGGACCUUUCGGUCCACAUAAUAUUGCCUUCCGGCCCGGACCUUUCGGUCCACAUAACAUUGCCUUCCGGCCCGGAUCUUUCGAUCCACAUAACAUUGCCUUCCGGCCCGGAUCUUUCGAUCCACAAGAUAAUUGCCUUCCGGCCCAUACACAUAUAUAACACAUAACACAAAUACUCUAACACAUAAAGCACAUAUAUCAUACCGUUCUUUCUAACACAUAAAGUCUCGCCUUCCGGCCCGUAUAAUCAUACAUCACAUAUAAGCACACAUCGCAUAUAAAGCAUCUAUCUCUCUAGACAUAGCAUGAAUAUAACACACACGACCUUCCGGUCUAACAGUCAAACCCUUCCGGGUGAAGUAUAGUGAGAAGACUCACCUCGUAGUACGCAGGCUAUAACCUCUUCGAGCUACUCGCACACAAUCCGCUAGUCCGCAGGUUCCCUAUAAUACCACAGCCUUAGUUAAUGAUCUUAUCAAACAAGACAACUGACCCCUCUAAGAUAUAUACAGGUCAACGGUCAAUUUUGACCGGACUCGUCGAGUGCAAAGGGUAACUCGACGAGUAUAGACAUCCUGACACCACUCGCCGAGUCUGAAGAACGACUCGACGAGUUCCAGUAGAUCUUCAAGCUACUCGCCGAGUCGGAAGAACAACUCGACGAGUCCUAGUGAACCUUCAAGCUACUCGCCGAGUCGGAUCAUUGGACUCGGCGAGUCCCCGCCAUGCAGUCAACCCGCUGCCUCCUGUAUUUCGCAUGAUUUCGAAGUAUAUAGAUAUAGGGCUUCCUGGACUUUCACAUAUACUAUUUCAGGGGUUUUUAAACACUUAUAACAACAAUAUAAUCUAACUAACCCUUAAUUGGGUUUCCUAAACCCUAAACUCGCAUACAACGUAAAAGUUACAGAUUUCAAUCCGAAAAUUACCUGGAAACGUGUUUCCUGUGUCUCCAAACCUCCAAUACUCAAUUCCUUUGAUCACCACCUUGCUCCUCCUUGUCUAACAAUCUCUUCAAGCCUUCUCAAGUCCUCUCUCUUGCUUCAGAUGCUCACACACUCCCAGGGGAUCUUCAAUCGGCCAAAAGACACGACAUGACGGCCAUAAUAUCAUUAUAUACGGUUCAGAAUCGAAACGGCUAGGGUUCAGCUGAACAGCGUCGACUCGCCGAGUCCCUUAUUGGACUCGUCGAGUCCAGUCGCGCGUCUGCGACCCAGACCAGGGCCCUACUCGGCGAGUCGUGCACCAACUCGCCGAGUCCCCUCCUAAAUGUGCCCCAAAAAUGAUUUAAAGAAAUAC
rnacentral:lncRNA from 1 species